rnacentral:lncRNA from 1 species
GAAUUUCAAAGAGUUGUACAACGUAAACUAUAAGUUAUAUGCAUCUUUUAAGACAAGUUUCCUGACUUUAUUCAUAUUUUAAAUGAAUGUUAGUUUCUUUAAACUUACUCAAAUGUUGUACCUGAGAAAGUUUUACCUAUGUGCAAAUGUGUUAUGUUUGUGCAAAGUGUUAUUAUGUAUGAGGCCAUUUGCCAAACUUUCAACAUUUAUGUGUUUCUGUGAGAUGAACUGUUUUGUGAUUGAACUGUUCAAUGUGAAAGGGUUCUGUUUAUUCAUGAACAGUUAAGCUUAAGUGUGACACCCCCAAAUUCGGGUACUCCAUUCCCACAGACUUGGUGUUUAUUGUCCAAUAAAAUCUCAAUUAUCUACCCAUAUAUAUAAUAAAACUAAUAAACUUAAAAUAAUUCUCUCAUUAAAGAGUUAAAUAGUUCUAAACAAAUCCCAGGUUAUCUAACCUUUAAUUACAUCAUUGCAGAAAUAAACAUAAUAAUAAAUAAAGUCUGACUACAUAAACUUCUUAGCAUAGUCAACAUAAGCAUCACGAUGUAUUUUUGUGCUUUGCCUUUUCCUUUGCUCGUUGACGACUCCUCAUGUUUAACUGGAACAUUAUAUGUAAGAGUGAGUAAACAAUUGCCAGCAAGAACAAUAAUAACAAGAACAAUAUAUGAAACAUCAAUGGAUAAGCCCGAUUGAAAUAAAUACACGACUUUCUUUAAAACUCAAGAUCGGUAAGCUCAAUGGAAAGAUUAACAGAUAUCUGAGGGUCACAAGACCAUGAACUAUGUCCUAGGUUAUCAAGUAUCUCUACUUAAACCUUUAUCAGUCAUAAGACUGUAUGUACCUUUCUUUCUGUACUAAGUGGGAUCAGCCCUUUGUACAAUAUAUUGUGCACAAACAUUUUAGUGCUUUCGCGUAAUAUAAUCCCCUAUAUUAGGGUUGUUCAUCUCAGCUUUGACAUUAGAGUCCGCACCAAAGGAAGUUUGAUUUGGAUUAGCUUCAAGGGUAAUUUAGAGUUCAAACAUUCAUCAAUUAAGGAUUAGUUGAAUCAACAAAAGAUCACUAGUCUUAUAACAACAAUGAUAUAGCCUUUGCAAGAUGAGAUUUCAAUAAUAUUGGAAAAUAAUAAUUUCAAGUGAAUAAUUCUCAUAGAUUGUGGUAUUACUUCCGUAAGAAUAGAAAGCUUUAAUUAACAUAAGCAUCUGAAUACCAUCAUAAACCUUGCUUGAACAAUAAUAAUUGUUCAAGCAAUCACAAUCUAUUUU